rnacentral:rRNA from 1 species
AGAGUUUGAUCCUGGCUCAGGAUGAACGCUAGCGGCAGGCCUAAUACAUGCAAGUCGGACGGUAUUCUCCCUUCGGGGAGGAGAGAGUGGCGCACGGGUGCGUAACGCGUAUGCAACCUGCCCCUUACAGGGGGAUAGCCCGGGGAAACCCGGAUUAAUACCCCAUGUUGCGGAAUGCCGGCAUCGGCGUUGCGCCAAAGCUUUCGGGCGGUAAGGGAUGGGCAUGCGUAGGAUUAGCUUGUUGGCGGUGUAACGGACCACCAAGGCGACGAUCCUUAGGGGUUCUGAGAGGAAGGUCCCCCACACUGGCACUGAGAUACGGGCCAGACUCCUACGGGAGGCAGCAGUAGGGAAUAUUGGGCAAUGGGCGGAGGCCUGACCCAGCCAUGCCGCGUGCAGGAAGACGGCGUUCUGCGUUGUAAACUGCUUUUAUACGGGAAGAAAAGGCCCAUGCGUGGGACAUUGCCGGUACCGUAUGAAUAAGCACCGGCUAACUCCGUGCCAGCAGCCGCGGUAAUACGGAGGGUGCAAGCGUUGUCCGGAUUUAUUGGGUUUAAAGGGUGCGUAGGCGGCCGGUUAAGUCAGCGGUGAAAGUUUAUGGCUCAACCAUGAAAUUGCCGUUGAUACUGGCUGGCUUGAGUGUCGAUGGGGUACAUGGAAUUUAUGGUGUAGCGGUGAAAUGCAUAGAUACCAUAAGGAACACCGAUAGCGAAGGCAUUGUACUUAUCGACAACUGACGCUGAGGCACGAAAGCGCGGGUAGCGAACAGGAUUAGAUACCCUGGUAGUCG